GCUCAGGUUUUACACACCUCUUUACUUGGUUUUUUUUUUCAGACAACCUCUUACUUGGUUUUGCCUUAUUUAAAUGUUCGAGUUAACUAGGUGUUGUCAAAAAAAAAAAAAAUUUAACUAGGUGUAUGAACAGGAAAUUUAGUGGAUUAAAAUUUAAAACCAAUAUUUUUCUAUACCUAAAAAAAGUAAUUAUUUCAUGAAAUUUUAGUUGAACUUUCAUUUUAUAAAGACUUUGCUUUUCUUGGUUAAUUUUAAAAACGUUUGGUUAGAGAGUUAGGCAUAUUUAAUUAUUAUUUUUAACGCUAAUUUAUUGUGAUAUUACAAUUAUAAUAAAAGAAAAUCAUAUUACAAUUACAAUUAUUAUUUAGUGUUACCAAAAAAAAAGUGAAAAGGUGGCUUUGAAGGAAAGACCUUGUCAAAUAAUGGAAGAAAGAAAAUUGA